GUGCAUGCGGGGUGCUAUACAUGCAGUCGAGCGGAUCGAUGGGAGCUUGCUCCCUGAUGUUAGCGGCGGACGGGUGAGUAACACGUGGGCAACCUGCCUGUAAGACUGGGAUAACUUCGGGAAACCGGAGCUAAUACCGGAUACGUUCUUUUCUCGCAUGAGAGAAAAUGGAAAGACGGUUUACGCUGCCACUUAUAGAUGGGCCCGCGGCGCAUUAGCUAGUUGGUGAGGUAAUGGCUCACCAAGGCGACGAUGCGUAGCCGACCUGAGAGGGUGAUCGGCCACACUGGGACUGAGACACGGCCCAGACUCCUACGGGAGGCAGCAGUAGGGAAUCUUCCGCAAUGGACGAAAGUCUGACGGAGCAACGCCGCGUGAACGAAGAAGGCCUUCGGGUCGUAAAGUUCUGUUGUUAGGGAAGAACAAGUACCAGAGUAACUGCUGGUACCUUGACGGUACCUAACCAGAAAGCCACGGCUAACUACGUGCCCGCAGCCGCGGUAAUACCUAGGUGGCAAGCGUUGUCCGGAAUUAUUGGGCGUAAAGCGCGCGCAGGUGGUUCCUUAAGUCUGAUGUGAAAGCCCACGGCUCAACCGGGGAAGGUCAUUGGAAACUGGGGAACUUGAGUGCAGAAGAAGAAAGUGGAAUUCCAAGUGUAGCGGUGAAAUGCGUAGAGAUUUGGAGGAACACCAGUGGCGAAAGCGACUUUCUGGUCUGUAACUGACACUGAAGCGCGAAAGCGUGGGGAGCAAACAGGAUUAGAUACCCUGGUAGUCCACGCCGUAAACCAUGAGUGCUAAAUGUGUAGAGGGGUUCCGCCCCUUUAGUGCUGCAGCUAACGCAUUAAGCACUCCCGCCUGGGGGAGUACGCGGCGCCAGGCUUGAAACUCAAAAGGAAUUGACAGGGGGCCCCCCCAAACGGGGGGAGCCUGUGGGUUUAAUUUUCAAACAACGCGAAAAAACCUUAACCAGGUCUUGGA
rnacentral:rRNA from 2 species